CCAAGAAUAGCUCAGUCAGUAGAGCAUGAGACUCUUAAUCUCAGGGUUGUAAGUCUGAGCCCCACAUUGGG